UCGUGGGGUUACACCCAUUAGGACAGUGGGAGGGUUAAUUAUGAUGACGAUGCGUUGCUUUUUGAGAUUUUUUUUAGCUCACUUCAUGUCAGACAGUAUUUAUUCAAGAGAUUGAUUAUUUUCUACAGAUCUGAAGGUAUGUAGGUUUAGUUGUAGCAAUUAAAAUUGAUAUCACUAUUACAAAUAAUGUGGUUAAUCACGGUUAAUUAACCCAAAAUUGAGAUGUUGGGCUAUUUAAUUGGAGAAGUUUCAGAAAAAUCAACAAUUAAUCAAUUUCUUUUUGUUAAUUUUCAUCAGUUUUGUGUGAAGAUUUUCCAUCUCGCAGAGCUCAGAUGUCCUGUGGACACUCUGUGACUCCCACCUCUCUCACCAACUGGUGCCGCGGUCAGCUGGAAGACUGUCCUGACUGUAAGUCCCCUGUGGCGAGACACAGAGAGACAGAUCUGUGUGUCUCCUGCCAAGUCUGCACAGCAAAGAAAGGACGCCUCUAUGAAUUCUGCUGGCAGUGUCUGAGGCCCCAAGCCGCACUCAGACCACUGUAAUAAUGACAAAUGCUGUAACUCAGCUCUGGAAACUCUGAACUUCUGUCCAACCAUCAUGGUUGGGUCUGUGGUGUGUUCCUCUGUGAGGGCCUGUCCCGUCUGUGGCUCCCUGCUGAAACAUGACGGAAUAGGCUGCAGAAACACUACUUGUCCUAAAUGUAAGUUGAGGUUUAGGUACGUUUGUCUGGAAACCUCUGAUGAAUGUUACAAAACAAAUAGGAUUUAUAGCCUGUGGUCCAGUGGAGUCGCCCCCAGAGAGACCUCCAUACCUGUCUGGAACAGGAAGUAAGGCUUACUGUAGGGUCAGGUGUGCUAUCACAUCCAAACGACAAGUUGAAGGGAUUUUUCUGUUGUUUUUGCAAAAGUAUAAAAAAAACCCCACCAUCCAAUAGAUUCCUUUGUUUGGAGAAAUAGAGUUGACCUCCUUCAGGUUUGAGGUAAAGGCUUUUCUGGUUGUUUCCAUGAAUACAGUUUGAAAACCAAUCCAAUCCAUGUGAAUGUCAUUUAAUAAUCCUUACAUCUGCAUUUGUGUUUUUCGUCCGUAGAGUUUUUCCACUGAGACACUGAUCUCUAGAUGCCUAUGAAAUAAUGUACUUUUAAUUCUACACAUUAUAUCUAAACACAUUCUAAUAAACUAUUGACACAGUGAA